rnacentral:tRNA from 1 species
GUAUCCAUGGCUGAAUGGUAAAAGCACCCAACUCAUUAAUUGGGAAGUCGCGGGUUCAAUUCCUGCUGGAUGCA